rnacentral:rRNA from 1 species
GACGAACGCUGGCGGCGUGCUUAACACAUGCAAGUCGAACGGAAAGGCCCUGCUUUUGUGGGGUGCUCGAGUGGCGAACGGGUGAGUAACGCGUGAGUAACCUGCCCUUGACUUUGGGAUAACUUCAGGAAACUGGGGCUCAUACCGGAUAGGAGCUCCUGCUGCAUGGUGGGGGUUGGAAAGUUUCGGCGGUUGGGGAUGGACUCGCGGCUUAUCAGCUUGUUGGUGGGGUAGUGGCUUACCAAGGCUUUGACGGGUAGCCGGCCUGAGAGGGUGACCGGCCACAUUGGGACUGAGAUACGGCCCAGACUCCUACCGGAGGCAGCAGUGGGGAAUAUUGCACAAUGGGCGGAAGCCUGAUGCAGCAACGCCGCGUGCGGGAUGACGGCCUUCGGGUUGUAAACCGCUUUCGCCUGUGACGAAGCGUGAGUGACGGUAAUGGGUAAAGAAGCACCGGCUAACUACGUG